rnacentral:rRNA from 1 species
UGCAGUCGAACGCAGUAGCAAUACUGAGUGGCAAACGGGUGAGUAUAAUGUGGGAAUCUGCCUUUUGGUUUGGAAUAACACGGGGAAACUUGUGCUAAUACCGAAUAAGCCYUUACGGGGAAAGUUUUAAUGCCGAAAGAUGAGCCCGCACUUGAUUAGCUAGUUGGUARGGUAAAAGCUUACCAAGGCAACGAUCAAUAGCUGUUCUUAGAGGAAGACCAGCCACAUUGGGACUGAGACACGGCCCAGACUCCUACGGGAGGCAGCAGUGGGGAAUCUUGCACAAUGGGGGAAACCCUGAUGCAGCGAUGCCGCGUGAGUGAAGAAGGCCCUUGGGUUGUAAAACUCUUUCGUCGGGGAAGAAAAUGACUGUACCCGAAUAAGAAGGUCCGGCUAACUUCGUGCCAGCAGCCGCGGUAAUACGAAGGGACCUAGCGUAGUUCGGAAUUACUGGGCUUAAAGAGCUCGUAGGUGGUUAAAAAAGUUGAUGGUGAAAUCCCAAGGCUCAACCUUGGAACUGCCAUCAAAACUUUUUAGCUAGAGUGUGAUAGAGGUAAGUGGAAUUUCUAGUGUAGAGGUGAAAUUCGUAGAUAUUAGAAAGAACACCAAAUGCGAAGGCAACUUACUGGGUCACUACUGACACUGAGGAGCGAAAGCAUGGGUAGCGAAGAGGAUUAGAUACCCUCGUAGUCCAUGCCGUAAACGAUGAGUGCUAGACGUUGGAAAUAUAUUUUUCAGUGUCGCAGCGAAAGCAUUAAGCACUCCGCCUGGGGAGUACGACCGCANGGUUAAAACUCAAAUGAAUUGACGGGACCCGCACAAGCAGUGGAGCAUGUGGUUUAAUUCGAANAUACGCGCAGA